rnacentral:rRNA from 1 species
AUUGAACGCUGGCGGCAGGCCUAACACAUGCAAGUCGAGCGAGCGGCGGACGGGUGAGUAAUGCCUGGGAAUUGCCCAGUCGGGGGGGAUAACAGUUGGAAACGACUGAUAAUACCUCAUACGAACGGAUUGCCCAGGUGGGAUUAGUUAGUUGGUGGGGUAAUGGCUCACCAAGGCGACGAACCCUAGCUGGUAUGAGAGGAUGACCAGCCAAUCUGGAACUGAGACACGGUCCAGAUUCCUACGGGAGGCAGCAGUGGGAAAUAUUGCAAAAUGGGGGAAAUCCUGAUGCAGCAAUGCCGCGUGUGUGAAGAAGGCCUUCGGGUUGUAAAGCACGUUCAGCGAGGAGGCGUUACUCGCAGAAGAAGCACCGGCUAACUCCGUGCCAGCAGCCGCGGUAAUAC